rfam:Felis catus isolate Cinnamon breed Abyssinian chromosome B2, whole genome shotgun sequence.
UCAAAGGCUCUUUUCAGAGCUGUUCACAGUUUCUGAGAAACUGCUU